UACAGAGGGUGCAAGCGUUAAUCGGAUUUACUGGGCGUAAAGCGUGCGUAGGCGGUUUGCUAAGUCGGUUGUGAAAUCCCUGGGCUCAACCUGGGAACUGCAGUCGAUACUGGCGGACUAGAGUACGGUAGAGGGAGGCGGAACUCCGGGUGUAGCGGUGAAAUGCGUAGAUAUCCGGAAGAACACCGAUGGCGAAGGCAACCGCCUGGGCCUGUACUGACGCUGAGGUACGAAAGCGUGGGGAGCAAACAGG
rnacentral:rRNA from 1 species